rnacentral:rRNA from 1 species
UGCCAGACUCCUACGGGAGGCAGCAGUGGGGAAUAUUGCACAAUGGGGGAAACCCUGAUGCAGCGACGCCGCGUGAGCGAUGAAGUAUUUCGGUAUGUAAAGCUCUAUCAGCAGGGAAGAAGAUGACGGUACCUGACUAAGAAGCCCCGGCUAACUACGUGCCAGCAGCCGCGGUAAUACGUAGGGGGCAAGCGUUAUCCGGAUUUACUGGGUGUAAAGGGAGCGUAGACGGCGAUGCAAGCCAGAUGUGAAAGCCCGGGGCUCAACCCCGGGACUGCAUUUGGAACUGUGUGGCUGGAGUGUCGGAGAGGCAGGCGGAAUUCCUAGUGUAGCGGUGAAAUGCGUAGAUAUUAGGAGGAACACCAGUGGCGAAGGCGGCCUGCUGGACGAUGACUGACGUUGAGGCUCGAAAGCGUGGGGAGCAAACAGGAUUAGAUACCCGGGUA